UAAUACAGAGGAGCCAAGCGUUGUCCGGAUUGACUGGGCGUAAAGCGCACGCAGGCGGAUACGCGCGUGGGGUGUGAAAUCUGGCCGCUUAACGGCCAGGCGCCAUCCCAUACGGCGUGUCUGGAGCCGUGCAGAGGUCGGUGGAAUUGCCGGUGUAGUGGUGAAAUGCGUAGAGAUCGGCAGGAACACCCAGGGGGAAACCAGCCGACUGGGCACGUGCUGACGCUGAGGUGCGAGAGCGUGGGGAGCGAACCGGAUUAGAUACCCGGGUAGUCCACGCUGUAAACGAUGGCCACUCGGCCUUUGGAGGCGGAUACUCCGUCUGUGGGGGCCUUAGCAAACGCGGGAAGUGGCCCGCCUGGGAACUACGAGCGCAAGCUUA
rnacentral:rRNA from 1 species